GUGUGUGUGUGUGUGUGUGUGUGUGUGUGUGUGUGUGUGUGUGUGUGUGUGUGUGUGUGUGUGUGUGUGUGUGUGUGUGUGUGUGUGUGUGUGUGUGCUGCAAGGUAAGUCAUGUUAGAAAGUGUAAUAGGAACUUCAGUGAGCAAACACAAAGCUCUGGCUUGAUGUUUGUGAAUGUCAUCAGCUUUGGGCUUCAUUUUCAGAUGGCUCCUACGUUGUAUUUAUAAUACUUCUUAAUGUAGUUUACUUCUUUUUUUGAUGUGUGUGGGUAUAUUUGCAUGAAUACUUGGUUUCCCUGAUUGAUUUGGUGCUUUCAGUCUGAAUUAGUGUGCACAAAGGCAGAAGGAAGGCAGUAGUGCCCCCUCCUAUUCAGACAGGCUGUCCAGGCAUGAUGCUGUACCAACAACUGGAGUGGAAACAUACUAGAUUUAAGAUCACUUCCUUUAAUGUUCAGGUUGUUGGCCCAAACAGCUUCUAUUAGCAACACCUCCGUGCCCUGGUAGGAGCUUGCGUAAGAGGAUCACUACACAGCAUAAUGAAGUUAGCACACUCCGUAGCUGGAAGCCCUCAUCGCAAACUGGAGUUACUGUACCACCAUCACGGUUUACCCUUUCAGCCAUUAGGCUGACAAUCGGCCUGAAAUUCAAGUGUCAGGUAUGUACGAUGGUAGGAGGUAUGUAUGAUCAGCACUGGUUUGCUGAAAUCACGAGUCCGUAUUAGCUGCUGAUUAAAAAGCAGGUUUUGACUGAUCAGCAGUGUACAGUGCUUCCGGGUGAAUCCCAGUAGUUUCUGGGAUAUAUUGGAACGUACAACCUUGGGAGCAGGAACUGUGGCUCAAUCCCAUCAGGUCAAAUUAUGGACACGUUCCUGAGCAGGGUGGUGCCGAUAGAGGAUGAUCACAGUGAUCAACGGUGCGAUCUGAUAGCUUAUGCCUUUGCAAAUGUCAAGACAAUAUUUGCAGACUGUAGGGAAAUGACAGGGCAGGAGAGGGAGGAUGAGAGAGAGCAAGACGAAGGGCUGCACGCCAUAAACAGCUGUGUCAGUGCACCUCCCCCUGCUGAUUUUGAUUCACUGUGAAUGCUGUACAUGUAAAUAAACAGGCUAAUGCUUUGAUUGUGGUGACAUCGGUUUGAUUUAACAUAGCGUAGAACAUUAACAGAAAUACUGGGGCCCUGUUCACUCAAAAAGAGUUUGCUCAGCACAUAAGAAAACCCCCUCUUCCCUCCAUUCCUGAGACCCUAUAAAGACUCAUGCCAAGGUUCAAUGAUUCUACCAUGCUUUCACAAAGGGCAAACGCCAAACUGGCCUCAGAUCACUUGUGGCAGCAACAUUAAUGUUUGAUGUGUCUGUUGGCUCCCAUUCACCAGGUUGCUAUCAUACGAGCACAGUUUAAUUUGAUCCUUGAUUCACUGUGAUGGACUUGAGACCCUUUCCGUAGAACACAGCAGGCUGUCGUCCCUGCACGCGCAGCACGCGCAUUCAAGGCUGGAGAUCUCAAUGUGUUGUAAUGAAAACACAAAGGUGAGCUCAGCCACAACAGUAUUUUAUGGAAAGCAAAGAGGCUAAAUGAGGUUACUGUGGAAUGGUAGUCGUUGGCAUCGACUGGACCCUGGCCUGGCUCAGAGUCUGGUGUAAAGUAGGUUAUCAGAUCACUGUGGUGCGCAUUGAUUGUGUCACUUUCAAUGUUCUGGUUUCUUGCGGAGAGUAUCGGAUUUGCAAAGUGUUGAAUGGCAGUUGUGUGUCUGUUGUUAACAUGUUCCAGGCCAGUGUUUCCCAUGGGUGGACAAUUUACUUGUGGUGGUGGUGAGUGGCCCGGUGUAUGAGCGAUGUGCACGCAGAGACUCGUGCAGUGUAACCCAGGUUAUUUUCUGUACCUGCACUUUACAGGUGUCCCUUAAAUGACUCUAAUGUAUCAGGAAGACAUUCUCACAGAGUAGCCUUUAGUCUCCUCUCAUUGACUCAGACAGCAACUCAGACAGAAAAGAGUGAAAUACGUUCUGAUUUUCACCUAAAUUGAAACCGAGAGAAUUUACCUACCUAGGAGAGAGUCUUAAUCUACCAGGGUGGGCGGCCCAAGUAAAGCCUAUGUAUGGGAAACGCUGCAGACCCAAAGCUGUUAUAAUGUGUCUAACAGCACUCGCAGGUAAACAGAGGCUACACUAGUGUCAACAUUCUGGCCAGAAUGAAGAAACCUGCAUCCCCUAAAGAAAUGCUCUGUUCUGUCAUAUAAUCAAUCAAUUGUCAUAUAAAUCUUAUGAGACCUGGCGCGCUGGCUUGCUUGGCCCCCACCACCGAGCCUACUGUGUAUUAAAUGUGGAAGAGUUCAGCAUGAGGAUAUGUUUCAGAAACAUGAAAGCAUUUGCAGAAAUCACAGGGUCGCUCUCAGGAACAACUUGUGUGAACAAAUUUGAUCUCAAGUGGGUCGUACAAGGGAUCAAAGAUAACACUGUGGAAACGCACUACUGGCCCGUAUCUGUUGUACAAGUCAGGUCAUAAUGUAAUUUUAAUAAGAUGAAGAAAUGGUAUAUUACUUAAACAAACCUAAUGAUAAAUUCAUUUUCUGUUCACUGUUUAAUAUCCUGUUUAGGUUUUAUUGCACAUAGUAACAUGCAUAGAUGUCGUCAGCUUUAGUAAACGGGUAACUUGGCUCGUCACUCUGGGCUCUUAAGUUCAGUUCUCGAAAUUUAGAACUGGGUCCCGGGGGUCACCCCUUACACAUUAGUCAUGUAUUGCUCUGCUUUAAAAGCAGUUGUGAAUUUUAGUGUCAGACCAUUUGCGCUUCCUUCCUGUCACGUUUAAGCUCUGUUUUUUCUUUGACGAUAUCAUUAUCAGCUGUACUGUUUGUAUUUUCUAAUUGUUUGUGGUGAUCUAUUGCGACUUCUGAUACUGCUGAAGUUGUUUGGUUUCUGACAGCUGCACUAGCGAGAUCACAUGUGAAAUUCUUCUUAUUUUUACUCUUGGGUAACAUUUUUGGGAAUGAAACAUGGCCACAAAUGGAGCAGAACAGAUAUACUUUAUACUUCUAUGUCGCUUUUAGAGGCAUCUAUUGAUUAUAGUGAUUUUAUAUAACAAAAUCCCACCUACUCAUGCAAGGUGCAUUCAUCAGGCUGAAAUGACUGAAAAGUGUUUCCAGUCGGGAAAGUUUGGUGAAACUCACAGAAACACGUUUGUGUGUUUAAGAUAGGAUUAUGAAAAUGUUCUUGCAUGCGGGCCAUUGUGCCCUGGUUCUUCUUGAAAAUCCUUUCUCCAGGCCACUUCCUUAAUCCAAGGCUGAAGUUAACCCCACUGGGCAAGCGUGGCCCGAUCAGUGCAGCCAGAGAGAGGGAGCUGCAGAGCGGGCCAGGCUCCUCCUCUGUGUCCAGCCCACUGCCAGCUCAUGCUCCUGCUUUCCUUUUUUUUUUUUUUUUUACACCCCCUCCUUUUUUUCCUCUCUAAUUGUAUGCUUACCAACUCUGCCAGGACUGUUGCAGCAGAAUGCUGCCAUGUUUUUUUCUCUUCUCCAUUCAGACAGCCACUAUUUUUUCUUCUAUACAAAGUUUAAAUAUGUUUAGGUGAGGUGAGACAGUUUUUACCUCAUUCAGAUCAGAUAGGUAUCAGAUAUCAACCAAAAAAAUCCCAGGUGCAAAUGCAAACAGAAACAAACAAGAUUAAAUACAGUCCUGCUGAUUCUCUCCAAGGUAUGAGACUUAAAAAAAAUUGUGUAACUGGAUCAGUAUGUGUUAGGAACCUCCUCCACAGUCUCACCCCUUUGAUAAUGAUAGGCCAUAAUGAAUAACUAAGAGCUUAUUUCACCAUUCACAGAAUAUUCUGAUGACACUCAACACAAGACAAAUGAUUGCUACUAUGAAACUCUAUUGCUUACCAAAUGGAAUAUAUAGAGCAUGAACCGAGCAAACAAAUUUGUAGUCAAUCUCUUCGAGUCACAUAUGUGUCUGCGUUUGUUUCUUGACAGUUUCUAAGGAACCAGCUGGACUGUUUAGCAGCACAGGUUAAGCAGAAAUACUAGACGGCUUCGGAUGAUGUGAGUUAGAUUCCUUAUCAGGAUGAUGACGCUUUUAAAUGUGGCUAAUUACGAAAGAGUCAUAUGUUAUAAUCAUAUCUGACAUGACACACAUGGAUGGAUUAGGUGUGAAUGGUGCCCUUGUCAAUUUGGUAGCUGUGCAAUGUCAAGAGGACAGCUCGUGUCUCCUCCUCUUCAGUUCUUCAUCCUUUCAUUACCACAGUCAUCGUGCACGCCCCCUCGGGAAUAGACAGUUUGACUCUCUGCUUUCUCCCCCUCCCCUCUAUACCCAGCAGCUUUCUCCUCUUUCCUGUUUGCUUGGCCAAAACUACUGGCAUUUACUGGCACUCUAAAGCUCUCUAAAGCUCUGCCACUAUCGGCCUUAGUCAUGCUCCCGGGCACCUCCUCCCCCAUAAAAUUUCUCUUUCUCCCCCCUUCAACUGCGACAAAGCCCUGACACGAAUUAAACCAUAGGAUAAGCACUGCCUUUGGACAUUUAGGAGAAUUCAAAAGAAUGUGUAAACAAUUUAAUAAACAUUUAAUGGCACCCUGACACUGUACAGUCCGACACCAGUCCAAUUCAGGUUCUACUGAUACAGUAAUUACACUGUAGGGGACAUUCAAGGCAUAGCGUGGCCAUGCUCCCGAUUGCAGCAUCUCUAAGUUUAGUCCAGGACCGAGUUGAUCAAGGCAUUCUGGUAAAUGGGCUUGUUAAAACUCUGGCCAGCAGCCUGGUGGGCGGGCGGGCCAACCUCUCUCUGCCAUCUGCUGACUGCACAGUCAUCCUCCCUCCACAACCGGCUUUUCCUCUGCUCUUCAUAUUUCUGUUUUCAAAGAGAAGAUGUGAUACACAGAAUGGAUUUCCAAAGUGAAGCCGUAGUUUUUAAGAUGGAUGAGUUUAAUGACUUUUUAAGAAUAAGACCAGUGGUUUUCUCUACUAUAUGUGCUCUAUAUAUACUAGGCCUAUAUUUGACCCACUACAGUUUCAUAAAGAUGUAAACAUUUUUACACAGCAUAUAGAGCUGCGUGCAGCGCUUUUUUCAACUAUUGUCAUUGUUCCUCACUGUGUGCGUGUGUCACACCAGAGUGGUGAAAAAAAGCCCAGUGACAGAUGAAGACAAACUGAUUGGUCAUCCUACAGAAACAUAAUGAUAUGAAACAUCAGGAGAAGAGAACCGGAAGUCUUCACAUGAUUAAGCAGCACGGUCUCCAGACUCAUUGAGCUCCUUUGGUUGAACUGGACAGUGGACAGAAGGUGAAAGCAAAGUAACCUCUAUAGCAGUGUUGGGACAAACUCUCUGGACAAUGUAAUUUCUAUUGCUAAGAGAACGUCAUGACUGUGAACAUCUGCUGAAUAAGUCAAACAUGCCGAUUAAACUCGAUGUUUGUUUUAAAAAUAUCCCAUUGUUAUUUUGUUCCAUACUUAAACUUCGGAAACUCUUCGGUGCGUUGACACCAAACGAGAAGCAAAUUUUACCAUGUGAUGAGAUUACAUACCAUGUAACGUGUACCAUGUUAUUUGCAAUGCGAGACUUGCAUUAUUCGUUUCACUCACUCGAGUUGAAAUAUUUGAACUUGGGCGAAAUGUUCGCAUGAUCUGAUGUGGCGAAGGCCAAUUAGGGCUGAGAUCCUCCCGGCGUCAUUGUCGUCCGCGUCUGCUAGAGAACGAAAAUCCGCUUACAUAGCACAAGACACUGAAUUGUGUACAUUCGGAAAAAUCCCAAAGUUUUUUUUAUUUUUUAUUUCAAAAUGUAACAUGCUUGAAUCAACUUGUGUCCAUGAAUUUUGUAUUUAAGCUGGGAAGAAGUGUGGUGGCCUUCCUUUCAUUUGACUCUGAACUAAUGGCCAGUUUGCCUCAUCUGACUGACUGACCCCUUUCUUAUGAAAAGAGAAAUCUUUUUAAGUUGUUUUAAUGUCCAUCCAUUGUUUCCUUGUCGAAGUGCGUGCAGACUAGCCGAGCAGGCAGUUGUCUCCCUGUGUUUGGUGUUUACAGGAGGAUUAGUCCAUUCAGAUUGGUAAAUUGGGCUGAGCAGUUGUCAGCUCGCUGCUGGCUCAGCCUGGCUGCCAUCACUCCUCAUUACUGUAUGUGUCUCUUUGUCAAAACAUAAUGUCCAUGGCCCUAAAACAAUAUCGAGCACCAACAGUGAGCGAAACCACAUCUUUUGAAAAGGUUUAAUCUGGAACCCAAACUAACGAAUCACCCAGAAUUUCGUCAACAGCAGCUCAGCUGACCAACUGACCAAUUAACCAUUCCAGUAGCUUGAUGUAAGUUUUCCCCAUUCCAUCAUGACAUUAUUAUUUAAGUGUCUGGAUUUCACCAUAUUCAUUCCGGUUUUCCUCUGACUCUGUAUUUUUCUAUUACACUCCCAAAGUGCCAUUACAUGGGGGUAUAUUUACUGAGGAUUAGUAGGCCUUUUUUUUGGCAUUAAAUAGCCAAAUAUUGGUUGACCGUAGUAAAAACUGUGUCAGAGAUCUCAGUGUGCUCAGUGUCCUCAGAUGUUCUGUGUAGGAGGAGGGAAUGGACAUUCCAACAGUUGGCAUCUGAAAUUAGUUGAUCAUUGUUAAAAACCAGUAACAGUUCUCGUCUGACAAAUGAUCAAAUUCGCACAUACAGUACAUAUAUCUUAUAUAUUUAUUAUAUAUGAUAUAUAGUAGAAAGAGCAGGGUGUUUAUGUGGAUUUUUACUAAAUCUGUGGCACAUUACAGUCAGGUGGGCAAAAAUGUACCCCUCUAUAAUUAUUUUAGCGAUGUAUUUACUAAGCAACAUCUUCUUUUAUCUCAUUAUCAUCACUAAUCUGAUUCCCAUAACACGUCACUGAAUAAGAUCUGAUGCCAGACUGCCAGACUCCUCAUGUGCAUGUCUGCAUAAAAAAGAGGAUUAAUGCAAAAUGUUUCCUGCUGCUGAACUUGCACAUUUAUUAAAGAGAGGACAGUGUGAAGAACGUGUGUUCAGCAGCAAGUCAGAAGGAAGGCUGUUUAUGAGGAGGUUUUAGCUGAAUAGUCCGAUGUUGUCGGCUCAACAACAAGAUCAGAUGCUGAUUGUUGUUGUUGUAUAAAUACCAGUUCCAUCUCCCGUAUUUUGCUAGAAAGCCUUGAAAUGCAUCUUACCUGAGGCUAAAACAAAGAAUUUUCAGGAGGAGCCUUGUUGCCCAUUUUAACUGUAUAAAACCUCAUUGUAGUGUUUUCGUGAAUUAGGAAAAUUUUACUUUUUAGCACCUAAACAACUAAAAAUCAUUUGUCAACUCUUCUGCCCAGUUUCAUAUUCCAGUGUUCCAGAAAAGCUCUUAUUUCCAUUCUUUCUCUGGUUUCACUGAGGUGUGAAGGUCUGAGGUUCAGACCCCACUGAAAUUGAGAAAAUGCCAGAUAUCCCUUAGAACAUAUUUGGUAAAAGUCACAGGGAACGUUCUGCUGUUUUUCAUCUUACUUGUGCAAAUACAUCCACCCAAAAGAAGAUGGUUUUCAUCUGUGUCUGAUGGGCUUCAGCCACAUCAGGGCUCGGAAGACAGUCUACUUAAAAAACGGGCGGGCGUGCGUGUUUCUGCCUGCGCGUGUGUGAUUGCGAUGUGGUGACAAUAUCAGUGAGUGAAUCUGUCAUCAAAAGGAACAGUAGUGAGUUUAUUCAUGGGUGCGUUGAGGGUCCACAUCUCCUGGCCUGCAUUUGUGUGUGUGCACGUGCAUGCAUGCGUGCGCGUGCAUGUGUUGUUUGUCAUUCCAUCACGGGCCAGGCAGGGGGUCCUGGUCAGGUUUGGAUAGCUGGCAGCAUAUCUACGAGUCAUUGUUCUCUGUUUUUUCUCCACUCUUCGGACAGAUUUUACUCUCAGGUUUUGUAUUCAACAAGCUCUGCUCUUAAAAUUUCACCACACCAUUUUAUCUUUACCUUAACUCAUCCAUGUCUAAACUCUAGUACAUAGCAAUGUUUGUAAUUAUUCAAAACUAGCACCAAUGUGAUACUUAACUCUUGGAUACCCAAUUUUUUAUUUUCCUUACCUUCCCUUAAAAAUUUUCACAACACAUAUCAAGGUGUUAUUGUUCCUUUGAUCCAUUGGAUGAAGGAAUAAGUGAACACAAUUAGGAGUCUGUGCGAACACGUGAUGCAAGCUUUCAGUCCUGAAGCGUUCUGCAGUAAGGAUGGGUCUCAAGCUCUUUUCUUAAAUUGACUGAUAAAUUAUAGAUUGGUAUCAAAAACUGUACAGCUGUGCUGCUCAUCUAAAGCGUACAGCUAAUAAUACAUGACACAAUCACAUGCUUUCCUGUGAGCUGGGUGAAGAUUUCACUGGCAUCUUUGCACAUUUGAGAUGCUUCAACAACUUUUGCAUGAUACAGACAUGUGUUUGGGAGAGGCGCCUGACAGGCACUUUUACAUAUUGCAUCUUCAAAAAUAGAUGCACGGCUUCAGAACAUCGAACACAAGCAGAUGUAGUUUUCAUGAUUUACACCAGCAGCUUCAGGGCUCGGGGCAGCAACGCGAUGGAUCACUGGAAAGUUGCCACUUUGAUUUUUGGAUGGAAAUAUCUGGAGGAGGGAAGUGAAGUUGAAGACUGCUGCUCCUCCCUCUAAGUAGUGGGAAGAGCAAGUUGUGCUGGAUGUGUGGAGGUGAGAAGCGGUUGACAGACAGACCUGAAAAAUGGAGCCAGCCCUCUGAGCUAGUUAAUGCUGCAGAAAUACCUUAUCUUAUUGACAUUAUACUUGGACUGAUUUUGGUCUAUAGAGGCUGAUACUGUGGGCCUAUUUUAAACUGGUUUGGCAGCGGAGUAAUGAAAAUGAAAUACUGGAAAUUUUACCAUUCACCAUGGGAGGUUAUGUUUUGCUUCAUGUAUUUCAAUGUUUGCCCUUAACCUUGCAUAUCUCUUGCAGCUGCAUCAUUUUGAAGACUAUGUCUAGUGUGUAUCUUCCAAGUACACAGUUUGUUUGGGGGAAGGCAUCACGCCUGGAAUGUAAAAUAUGUUACUUGUUCCAGCACAGGCAUCUCAGGUAGUUGUGAUGUGCCUCACUCAGGGACUUUCACACAGGGGUCAUGGUGACAAUCUAACUGGGAUUCAUUUCAUUUUCAACAUGGCACAAGUCUUAAUUGAGUGCCAUGGGACUGAACACAGGGUAAAACAUGCAGGUAGAGAGAGUGUUGUAUCACUUUCCAUCAUCACUGCAAAAAAUAAUUUCUUAAUAAAUGUCUCUUACAAAGAGAACAUAAACUUAGUUUAAUGGACUGUGAAACUAUGAAAGAGCCAAGUUGUUGAGAUUAUUCUCAAAACAGAACAGCCCAUGAAACCCAUUUUCUCACAGUGCGACUGGAGCAAAAGAGGUUUUAAACAACCCUGCUCAAGCACAGUAAUAAUUGGUCUCCCCCUAUGUUCAGUAAUGCCAAUUGUGUGGGUGAAAAAAUGAAUACCCAGCAAAAGCAGCAUGAAACAAAUAGUACCAACCCAUUAUUCUGAAUCAGUCGAUGCUUGUGCACCGAGCGACAAUAAUAACAGGCAGCAGAAAUCAACAUCUUUUAACAUUAAUGAGGAAACUGAUAUGAAAAUGUAUUACUGGAUUGCUGUGGGCAAAAGGGCCGGGCCUCCCUCGCGUCCACAAUUGCUCUCAUUAAUUAAGGCUUCCGCAGCAAAGUAAGAAAUUUGAAAUGCAUCAGUGAAGGAGCCUGUGAGUGGGGGGAAGACACGGUUCUUCCUCAUUCCUGUGUCCUAACAUUUAAAAGUCACAUUUGUGUCUCAGUGCUGAAAGCCAUCACUCAACAGGUAGCUGAAGCAGGAUCCUAAUUAACUGUGUAUGUUUGCGUACUGCUAUGUUUUCAUUUUAAAACUGAAUUGAUCUAUGUCCAGAGGAGCGUUUUAGCUCAGUAUAAGUAUUAAUCCCCAUCCAUUCUAAUGCACCUGAAAACAUAUAUCACAUGACCACUCAUGUAUACUGAGCAUGUACGUACCAGUGUAAACAGGAAGCAGAUUGUCAUCCCUGCAGUCGGUCAGUCAGUUACAGACAAAACUACAAAUGAGAAACUACAAUAGCAAAAAGUAAGAGCAACGACAUGGUUGAACUAGUACUUUAAGUAUUUACAACAUUCUCAAUUCACCACUAAUAGUCGAGUCUUGACUGAUAAGAACUAAUCAGGAGGCAAAUGCGGACGUCACCGUCAUAAUCGCCAAAUAUCAUUGUUUUUGCCUCAUACAACUGUUAUCUCCAAACCUCCAAUAUCUCAAACAGAACCUUCCUUUUCAUAGAUGCUUUGUCCUCCUUUUCCUCUAUGGGUUUAUGAUUUAAAGGUGGGCCUUUUCUUAAUAUCACCACAUCGCUCCCGGUUAGCUAGGAGUAGUUUAGCGCCAAGUGAUGAUUACCCUCAAUCUGCAAAGACCCGCCUCUGCUUGGUCUUUGGCUGGUGUCAAAUUUUGAACCCUGAGCUGUGGCCAGUAAUGUUAGAUAGUCCAUGUCUGAAAAGGGCGUAGAGUGAACAGAGCUGGUUGCCGCACUGGUUGGUUGUGACUUGGUUCGAGGUGGUCAACAGCUCCUCCACCUUGUCCUCAGAGCAGAUGACCAGCUACUCAUCUACACAGCAGAUAAACCAGAUUUAAGCUCUGCUGCUGACGUUGGCCUACAUUAGUGACUGCACUAACCAGUAAGCCAUAAUCUUUAUCCAUCCAUGGUAGGAUGUGUUUGCCUGUCUGUAUGUAAAUCCAGCAGCUUGUUCUGGUUCUAUGUCUUGAAACAGUUUGCAGAAUGGACUCUGGCUGUGUAGGGAGUCUUGGCUCACUCGCCCCACACUUCGCCCCUUUAAAACUCCUCUCUCCUACAGCCCCUUCCCCUAUCAUGAGAUGUCACACCACAUCACUAUGCACAGUGGAAGAGCAGGGUCUUUGAUUGCGAGAGCUUCUCUCCCAACUCACAGAGAGCUGACUUAACUUGGUCUUUGUUUCCUUGUGGUUGCUAACUUAAAGGAGAUAUAUUAUGAUUAUGGUGAUCUUCUAUCAUUUAUCUAAUGUUGACAUUUUGAUGUCCAGGUUAAAGAAAGUAAAACAAUAAAAAAGUGAGGUGAAUUUGUGUUAACAUGCUCCCUGUAAUACAAAAGCUUUCAGUCUGUUCUGAGCGCUUCGCUCCAACAUUUUGAUGUGAACAUCAUGGAUGUCCACAUAGAGAUUGCAGCUCCGGGCCUUUGCUCCAGUCACUACAAUGUCAAAAAGAGAGUGUUUUUUGAUGUUGCUGCAGGUUCGUGGGGGGGCAACAUUAGACACUGGUGGAUAUCAUAUGUAUUUUUCGGACCUCAUCCAGCAGUGGAACCCUCCCAUAUUUCUCUGGACUUUGCAUGCUCCUAUUGAAGGACGGAGCGCUCCAAACUUUAUUGGUCCAGGGUGUUGAUUCAGAACCCCGAACUGUUAUCUUAGUGAUCUCAUGAAGUUCUCUCCUGUGUCAUGAAGUUGUUCUGGACCCACUAAAAUCUUCUCAUUAUACAAAAGACUAUCGGAGGUGGAAGACUUCACUGGGAUGUAUCUGCACAUCAACAGGAUGACCGGUGAGACUAUCGGUCUCAGAGCCCCAGCACCAGCUGACGCAACUGUAAUAUGCAAGCAGUGUACAGGAAAACGUUUACCCAGAGAGCUGCAGGAGGGACCCUGAGGCUGGUCCAUUCACCUGUGCUCGAUGCAUCAUGGCACCCAUCACAGUCAAUCACAGCGGUGUU